rnacentral:rRNA from 1 species
GACGAACGCUGGCGGCGUGCUUAACACAUGCAAGUCGAACGAUGAAGCCGGAGCUUGCUCUGGUGGAUUAGUGGCGAACGGGUGAGUAACACGUGAGUAACCUGCCCUUGACUCUGGGAUAAGCGUUGGAAACGACGUCUAAUACCGGAUACGAGCUAGGACCGCAUGGUCACUAGCUGGAAAGAACUUCGGUCAAGGAUGGACUCGCGGCCUAUCAGUUAGUUGGUGAGGUAACGGCUCACCAAGACGACGACGGGUAGCCGGCCUGAGAGGGUGACCGGCCACACGGGGACUGAGACACGGCCCAGACUCCUACGGGAGGCAGCAGUGUGGAAUAUUGCACAAUGGGCGCAAGCCUGAUGCAGCAACGCGGCGUGAGGGACGACGGCCUUCGGGUUGUAAACCUCUUUUAGCAGGGAAGAAGCGCAAGUGACGGUACCUGCAGAAAAAGCACCGGCUAACUACGUGCCAGCCGCCGCCGUAAGAC